CCGAAAGAGAAACUAAGAAAAAAGAUGAUAUUCCAGAAGAAGACAAAGGAAAUGUUAAACAGUGUGAAAUCAAUUAUGUAAAGAAAUUCCAGAGCUUCCAAGACCACAAACUUAAAAUAAGUAAAGAAGACAGUAAAAUUCUUAAAAAGGCCCGGAAAGAUGGAUUUUUGCACGAAACACUUCUGGACAGGAGAGCCAAAUUGAAAGCUGAUAGAUAUUGCAAAUGACCAGGAUUUUUAUUUCUGUCUUCCCCUUUUUUUCUGAAUAAAAAAAUCAGUGGAAGUGUUUUUACAGAAUUAUUGGGCUG